rnacentral:rRNA from 1 species
GAUGAACGCUAGCUACAGGCUUAACACAUGCAAGUCGCAGGACUGGCGCACGGGUGAGUAACGCGUAUCCAACCUUCCCAUGACCACGGGAUAAUCCGUUGAAAGACGGACUAAUACUGUAUGGUGAUGGAUGGGGAUGCGUCUGAUUAGCUUGUUGGCGGGGUAACGGCCCCCCAAGGCGACGAUCAGUAGGGGUUCUGAGAGGAAGGUCCCCCACAUUGGAACUGAGGCCCGGUCCAAACUCCUACGAGCGGCAGCAGUGAGGGAUAUUGGUCAAUGGGCGCGAGCCUGAGCCAGCCAAGUAGCGUGCGGGAUGACGGCCUAUGGGUUGUAAACUGCUUUUAUGCGAGGCUGGGUACCGCAUGAAUAAGGACCGGCUAAUUCCGUGCCAGCAGCCGCGGUAAUAC